CAGGCUCAUGACAAAUGAAUUAAUGUCCAAUCUGAACAUGAAGGGGAGAGGGGGAAAAACUGCCUUUGCCGAGACGAAGCUGCUCGAUGUAGUCACAGCUAGUGUCUUGGAUACCCAGAAGGGGACCGAAACGAUGGUCCAUGAUGCCAUAAAAAAUAAACUGAAAUAUGCCCCUGGACGAAAGGGAGGAAUAGGAUGGGCAUCACAGGCUAAAUAAAUAAUUAUAUCGAU